ensembl:rRNA 5S_rRNA 5S ribosomal RNA
GCUUACGACCACACCGGCCUGAGUACGCCUGAUCUCGUCUGAUCUCGGAAGCUAUGCAGGGUCUGGCCUUGUUAGUACUUUGAUGGGAGACCGCCUGGGAAUACCAGGUGCUGUAAGCU